ACGUUACUUUAAUUUUCAUCAGUAAGAAGAUAGUGACUCCUUACCUACUACUGCUACUACUACUUUUCGUUGUAUUUUGUUUGAAACCAUUAUUAUCUUCCUCGGAAAGUUCUUCUUUUCCUUAAUUUUCAGUGAGUAGGUGGACAAUAUACUGGGAAUUUUUUAUUAUUCACAAGAUCACCAGCUACUGCCAGAGGUUUCAUUUUCUUUCAAAUUCAACAAAUCAUCUGUUGCCAGAGUAUUCAUUCUCUCCAAAUCCAAAGUAAGAGCUGAAUUUCUUUUUCUUUUUUUUUAAUACAUUAUUUUUGGUUGAAAUAUAUAUGGCUUCCAUGUGUUCUUGAGAUUUCAUACUUGCAUCUCAUCGCUUCACUUAUGCAAUUUCCUCCCAAACUCAUUGUACGGAAAGAAACCCAAGGAAAUUAAGGAUGAAAUAGGAUGAAAUUCCUGCUUUUUUAUUUGACUCAGGAUUAGAUAAAAUCAAUUUUCAGUAUGAAUACAUGUAUUGCUAAAAUUACUGAAUCAAUUAUGUGAACAUGUUUCAUGUGAUAUGAUAUGAUGAGUAACUAUGAACUUAAUAUGUUUCUUUACCUCCACAAGAUUUAUCUUACAAGUAGGUUGUUGUUAUUUCUUGGUGGAUGUAGAAAAACAAAAAAAAAAAAAAAAAUUGAUUUAGAUGGUCUACUGGUUCAUUAUCUCACACGGAAAAAAGAAAUAAAUUUGUUAGUCUUAUUAUAUAACUUUUUGAAUUUGGAGAAGUUGCCAAAUUAAUAAAUUUAAAAAAACCCAAAAAAAAAAAAACAACGGAAGCAUUAAAACAUUAGCACUUACAUACGUUAGCAAUUAUAAAAUAAUUUCUCCGAAAUCCUUAAAUGCGUUUUGUUAUACAUUCUUAAAUAGGGUUUGAAAUUAUCCGAUGAAAUCAUUAAAUGCGCUUAGUUAUACAUUCUUAAACAAUAGCCAUGGAUCAUUUUCUUGUGAUUUUUCAAUUGUUUAUUUUGACUGCUAAUCUAAUUGAUAUUUCUCAAUUUGU